UCAAACUCCCGACCUCAGGUGAUCCACCCACCUCGACCUCCCAAAGUGCUGGGAUUACAGGCGUGAGCUACCACACCACUAAGUCUUACAGAGAGAAAAAACUUAAGCCCUUUAUUAUGUGCUGUCCUAACAAAUCUCAGGUAUCAGAAUGGCACUUAUCAGUCCAGAACCGGGUAAAAAGGGUCUAUUAAAAUGAAGGUCCAAUGAUUCUGUGCUAUAUUCAGUCUUAGACAUCAGAAUCUGAGGGGUGUCCUCACUAAAGAAACAGCCAAGCAGCAGCACUUACAUUCCAAGGAUGGUUUUGUACUCUUAGUAACCUCCACGGGGCUCACCAUCCUGAGCCAAGGACCCAAAUGCACUUUUAGUGAUCAGAAAGAAAAACAAAAAACAAAAACCCAGCCAACAAUUAGAGGCAUAAGGGCAAUUUUAAAUGCUUAUCCCAUAUUUCUGCCAAUUUCAGCAUUUUUAUUUGUGUGGAUAGCAGCAACCCACAGAAUAGUAGCAAGCAACUAUGAUAUUAUAGUUAUUAGGUCAUAACAAGCAAACUGCAGAAGUGGCCAGAUUACGCCGAUGUACCUCAAAGUAAGAGUGUGCUAUAAAGGCUCAGUUUACUGAGGCUAAAGAUGGAACUAAUUUUCUGUUAAGAUCAGUGGUACUAAAUAAUACAGCAAAGGUAUUCACACCCCUCAAUCAUAAAUCUAUUUUCAAGAAAACCCAUGUCUGUAGGCUAACGAUUAAAAUACGAAGAAAAAAUAUACUUUAUACUAGAAUUAUUAAAAAUUUUCCUUUAAAAUGAGACUGAAACUCAACUUCUUUUUCCUCCCAAUACACUGGAAAACAUUAUGCCUAAACUCUAAAGUAACCAUAUAAUGUUUAUUAAAAAGCAGUCAAGCAAAAAUUUAAACUUUUACUCAUAGUAAUUACAAUGAUCUAUGCUAUAGUAGCUCACCAUUUCAUUUGUAACAGGCAACCUUUUACGAAGAAGACAAGUCACCACUUCAACUAUGGCAUCAUGAAGUUUAGGAAAUCGUAACAAUUCCUAUAAAUGGCAGAUGAAAGAAAAAUUAGGAUCUACCUUCUGCUUCCCUGGAAAGGAUGAAUUUACAUCAUUUGACAAGACCUAUUUUCAAGUUAUUUGUUGUUUAUUUGCUUGUUUUUGUAGCCUAAAAUAAAAAUUUCAAAUACAAUUUUAGUUCUUACAAGAUAAUGUCUUAAUUUUGUACCAAUUCAGGUAGAAGCAGAGGCCUAGCUUGAAUUAAGGGUUAUACUCAGUUUUUACCACAUUAGUGAAAAGGGUACCAGCUUUGGAAAGAGAUACUAUACUAAUAAGCAAGUGUAAAAAAAA